GCCGGCAUAGCUUAGUGGUAGAGCGUUGCACUUGUAUCUCCACGAUAUGCAAAGGUCGCUUGUUCGAGUCAGGCUGUUGGCA
rnacentral:tRNA from 1 species